UCCGGUUUGGCACCGGCAGUCCUCCCAGAGUCCCCGCCAUGACGCGCUGGCAACUGGGAGCGGGGGUUGCGCUCGUUGCGGGACUUAACCCAACAUCUCACGACACGAGCUGACGACAGCCAUGCAGCACCUGUCUGGCGGCUCCGAAGAGCGACGCUGGUUUCUCAGCGUCUUCCCCCAGAUGUCAAGCCCAGGUAAGGUUCUUCGCGUUGCAUCGAAUUAAUCCACAUGCUCCGCCGCUUGUGCGGGCCCCCGUCAAUUCCUUUGAGUUUCAGCCUUGCGGCCGUACUCCCCAGGCGGGGCACUUCAUGCGUUAGCGCCGGUACUCCAAGGGUCGCUCCCCGGAGCACCUAGUGCCCAUCGUUUACGGCGUGGACUAC
rnacentral:misc_RNA from 1 species